rnacentral:lncRNA from 1 species
GACCUGAACCAGAGGGUGGGUAGGAGGUGCUUCUGAAGUGGUCGGAACUAAGUAGGCUUCUGCGGAUCAUCCGAUUCCGGAGCAACAUUUACCUGUUAUUCCUGAGUAAAUUGAGGAUCCAAGUAAGGUCGUGGUCCCUGCGAAAAGCGUCACCGUUACCUCCUGCUUCUCACGACUUCCGGGAUCCUGGAUCACUCUGGCCUCAUGGAAUCCAAGAAUGGAAGAUGGGAUCUUGAUCUGGAGUUUAGGAAGUGAAGUCAUGUGGUGAAGUGAGAACAAAGAGAAGAAACAGAGAACUGAAUUCAGGCUAUAAUGAGCUAAAACAAGGAUCUUAGUUAUUGACAGAACUAGAAUUCUUAAUUUUUUUCUUUUGCCUCAGUCUCUGACAUUGGUCUGCUCACACUAUGUUUAUCUAAAAUUUGCUAUUUUGUUCAUCAUGCAUUAUUUUGACGUUUAUUUUUUUAAUAGCAUUAAGGAGUUCCCAUGGGUAUUGAGGGUUAAGGAUCAGCAUUGUCACUGCAGUGGUGACAGUUCAACCCCUGGCCUGGGAACUUCCCCAUGCUGCAAGUGUAGCAGGAAAAAAAAAAUGGCAUUAAAACUGUUAUUACUUAUCUUGAUUACUGAUGUUUUGGACAUAGUCUUUAAUUUUGUGCCGUCAUAUUCUAGUCCUGGCCCUGGGAAGGAGAGUGAAGGUGAUGCAGGUGCCUCAUACCCCUGAGAGAAAAGUUAUAUUUCUUCCCCUUCUUUUUGAAAUGAAUACUUUGAAAUUGAACAGCUUAAAUCCUUCCUUGUCCUUUUUGGGGACUUAGUUACACCCUAAACACAAUCACCCAUAAGCUAAAGCUGAGCAGAAUUGCCUGUGGGUUAAAGUUUAUUAGCACAUGAUGUCUUUCAGGAACUUUCCUAGUUUGUUCUAAUCUCUGACCAAUAUGCCCUUUUCACAAGUACUAUUAUUCUAGAUGAUAACCCAGAAGACCUCCAUCAUGUUCAUUCUAAGAUCUUCUGACUCCAGCUUUGAUGACUAGGAUUCCCCCAAAGAAACAAGAAUGCAUGUUUGUCCCAAUCCUGAUUCCUAUCUGAAAAACUGUUUUUCUCCUUUUUGCUAUAAAACUCCUUGCAAUUCAUUCUAAGGGGAUGGGGGGGGGCACAGUCUUUAAGGCAUUAGCCUGCUUUGCCUCUCCUUUGCCUGGCAAAGCAAUAAAGCUUUUUUUUUUUUUUUUUUAACUCCUUUACCCAAAACUCUGUCUCUGCUUUUCAAUUCAGCACCAGCAGACAGAGGCCAAAUUCCAUCAAUAAAGGAACCAAAGCCUUCACCAGUUUCAGAGUUUGGAAAGGCCUGAGCCCAGAAAGCACCAAUCACAUUUACACCUUUUCUAUGGUCCACUUCUCUCUACCCGCUCCAUGGUCUCAAAUUGGGGUGACACCAUUACUUCUGUUGCCCUUCACCAUCUUUUUUUUUUUUUUUUUUUUUUUUUUUUGGUCAUUUUAGUGCCACACCUGUGGUAUAUGGAAGUUCCCAGGCUAGGGGAAUCAGAACUGCAGCUACCGGCCUACACCACAGCCACAGCAAUGGGAGAUCUGAGCUCUGUCUGUGACCUACACCACAGCUCAUGGCAAUGCCUUAUCCUUAACCCACUAAGAGAGGCCAGGGAUUGAACCCACAUCCUCAUGGAUACUACUUGGGUUCCUUCCUUACUGAUGAGCUACAAUGGGAACUCCUGCCCUUUACCAUCUUGAUUAAACUCUACAACAUUUCUUUUCCUUUGUGUCCUGAACAUGUUAGAAAUGGCAAAGAACUUUUAUUAGAAAAAUACAAUCACCAAAUCACACAGAACGGUAAUGGUAAAGUUCAAAGGACACAUAUUUUGACACUCUUGGUCUCACCCUUGACCUUGCCAGUGAAUAAAAUAGGGCUUCACUCUCAUGGAUUUGUUCCAGUAUGCCACUUUUAGCAUACCUGCCACUGUUCGUUGAGUUUUUUACAAUUUGGGAGUAUCUUUGCCUUUCCUCUGGCAAUCUUGAAUGAAGUAAAUCAUCUGCAGUGGCAGGGGUAUAGCAGGGCUGAUGUGUCUUAAAUGUCCCAGUGAGGAGCAAUGGAAACAAAGAUGAGUACCAUGCUAUAUCAAUAGUCAGAACCUUUCUUAUGCAAAUAAGGACACCUAGGCACUCAAGUCACUGGGUGUUUUAUUGAAAAAUUACUGAAAUUGUUUGAGUUGAAAUCCAUAACCAUGUAAUUACCUGACAAUAGUAUAGCUGGUUUUUAAUUUUUUCUGUGAAUGUGAGAAUCUGUACUUGUAAAACGUAGGCUUGUAUGCCCUAAGAUGCAUCUGAACUGAAUAAAGUAUUGGAGUUUUUUGGUGUAAAUUACAUAAAAAAGCACAUACCUGUUUUAAACAAAUAUAAUUGUUAAGAGCUCAUGUUUCUACUGAAAUGCCCUUGUGGAGAGGAAUUAUAAUUCAUCCAGAAAAAUCAUUUAGUUUCCUUCAAAUAUCCAUUUUAAAUAAUAAAAUAACACAUUUCUUAA